AAGCAUACAAAUGUCAUCUGAUUUCUUUCAUAAGGAGGAUUUCAAAAAUAAUAUUGCAAUAUUGUUUUUUACAAUAUUGCAAAAAAUUUUUGAAAUUCUUCUUAUGAUAGAAAUCAGCUUUAUCAUUUGUAUGCUC